rnacentral:lncRNA from 1 species
GAUCUGACAUUGGCCAAAGAUCUUUCUCCUUCAUCUGAUCAUGGCUUUUACCACUGCAAUCAAAACCCUAGGUCUAAAAUCCUAAAAUGCAAACAUACCAUGGAAGGGUCCUCGGCUCAUGCAAAUCCGGUUCCCAUGGGUGGAACCGGUUUGAUCUCAGCCGGAGGUGACCAGAGAAGAAGAAAGUGAAGAGGAUUCUCCCAUCUCCCGGUCGUGGACGCCAUCGGGUUGACCACGGGCGGCAGUCGCAGAGCCGGCCGUGGGCUGUGCGGGCACCCUAGGUGUGGCCGCACACCCUGCAUUCACCACCGGCUUCGGCUGGUUUCUCUGCUCCUCGAAAAGUGCCCGUGCCCUAUCUCCUCCAUCGGAGGUGGAGGAGAGCGGCCAGCCGGGCCGCGGCUGCUGCGGAUCGGACCGUGGUCGCCGCGGGCGCCGCUGGUUGGCCGCAGCGCCACCGAUUCCGGGUCGGCUUCCUCCCGAGCAUUUCCGAGCUUGCCCCCUGCCCCAUGGGAAGAGAGGAGAAGAGGAGGGAGGGGAGAUCGGGACGGGAGGAAGAAAGGAGGAGAAGAAGCUUCGGGAAGGGAGAAGAGAAGAAAAAGAAAGAAAAAGGAAAAGAAAGGAAAAGAAGAAAAGAAAGAAAAGAAAAGAAGAAAGAAAAAUAAAUAAAAAAUGGCUGUGGGCCGAAAUGGGCCUGAUUCCGGAGUGGGCUUCAAAUAAAUUUGGCUUUAGAAGCCUGAGGCCAGGCUGGGCCCUGGUCCGAGCCCAGUGUUCUUAAAACCAAAACUAACUGAGCCUGAAGAGCUCAAAUUUUAAUAUAGGGACUAUAUUGAAUAUAGUUUGAGGCUAGGUUCUCUUUAAAUUAAUUAGAACUGAUAAGAUCAAUAGUAUUUUUGGGCCUGAAUACAAGUGGGCCCAGUAAUUAAAUCAGGCCAAAGGCCUUAUUUGGAACCCAAUUAAACAUCAGGCCUGAAUGCAAAUGGGCCCAGACCUGAACCAGAGGGCAAUUUGGUCUAAACCAGAAGUGGAAUUGGCUCGGACCUGAAUCAGAGGUUGAAUCAGAUCUGAACCAGAAGCUGAAUCAGACCUGAGCCAGAAAUUAAAUCAAAUCCGAACUAGGAAGUAAAUUAGACCAGAACCCGAAAUUGAAUUGGGCCAUGGGCCUGAACCAGAAGUUGAAUUAGGCUAUGGACCUGAAAAUGAAAUUGAGUCCUAUAAAUGGAUUGUAAACGGGUUAAUUAAGAAAGAAUGUAAAUAAAUGAAGUUGAACAUGCAAUUAACAAGUAAUUUGAUAAUGUUAUUAGGUAAUUGAAGAAUCGGCACCCAAACCUAAGGU